CUGAAUCAAGAACACCACGUAUGGGUCUCGUCAAUUGUGUUUAACAAGCCUUUCAGGUGAACUGGUUUCACACUGAAGUUUAAGAACAAUUGUUUUAACACUGGCAAACACCAAUUAAGAGUACAAGUGGAGGACUCUAGUGGGAAGAGUUAAGAAGUGACAGCGUGCAAGAUUACUAUUUCUACUGUUUCUUUUUAUAGGUGAGGGAAAAAGGAUAGGGAAGUGGAAACAGGGAAUGCUGAAGUACUGGAUCCAAUGAUCCAAUCAACCACAUUUGCACUAGAAUGUCAGAUUCCUGAGGGCAAAACCCAAGGCUCCCUUGGUCACUCUAUUAUCCAUGGAGCUUGGAGUGAUGUCUUGGCAAGAGGCAGAUGGAAGACCAGAAUGAGUACUCUCUUGGGGAAGCAGAUCUGAGAAGGAGCUGAUCAAGGCAUGUCAUUUUCUUCUCUGAAAUUCAUCAAACAACAAAAUACAUCACUUCAUGACCAUGGCAAGGAAUUAGUGAAGCCCCUGCACGGAAAAACUGAAGGCUGGAGAUUAAUUCUGCCCCUCAAAAUUUCCAAGGCCAUUUCUACUUAAGAGAUUUGGUACUUUGCUCAGUCUUCUCUGAAAUGCUCAUCCACCGGUGUGUCUUCACAUGGCUGGCUCUUUCUAAACAGUCAGUUCUUUGUUCAAUAUCAGCUCUUCAGAGAAACCUUCCUCAACCACCCAAUCACCACACUCUACUCAAUCUUUAUCACAGCAUUCUGCUUUGUUUCCUUAAUAUAAUUUCCUUAAUAAAUAUAUAUAUAAUUUCCAUGGUUGCUCA
rnacentral:lncRNA from 1 species